CAAGACCGGUGCCAGCCGCCGCGGUAACACCGGCGGCUCGAGUGGUAACCGUUAUUAUUGGGUCUAAAGGGUCUGUAGCCGGCCGGAUAAGUCUCUUGAGAAAUCUGGCAGCUUAACUGUCAGGCUUUCAGGAGAUACUGUCUGGCUCGAGGCCGGGAGAGGUGAGAGGUACUUCAGGGGUAGGGGUGAAAUCUUGUAAUCCUUGAAGGACCACCAGUGGCGAAGGCGUCUCACCAGAACGGACCUGACGGCAAGGGACGAAAGCUAGGGGCACGAACCGGAUUAGAUACCCGGGUAGUCCUAGCCGUAAACGAUACUCGCUAGGUGUCGGCCACGGUGCGACCGUUGUCGGUGCCGUAGGGAAGCCGUGAAGCGAGC
rnacentral:rRNA from 1 species